GAUGGGGCAGCCUUUGAACGGCCUUGACACGCGCUACGCUGCGGGCAGCGAAACAGAAGCUGCUCCUGCCCAAAGUUUGCUGCCGUUCCCAUACUGUAAACUCACUUGGAAGUGAACGUCGCAGGACAAUAAUCGCAGAUACUGGAUACCAAGCAUAGCAUAGCCAGAGGUCGCGUCUCCUCAGCGAAUUAGGGACAACAAAACAAUUUGCAGCCUCGGCUUUGCUGUAGGACAUCAUGGCCAUCAGGAACAUGCGCAGUACGUGGCUGCAAGGAUGCUGCACUCCCUCGAACAGUGGGCGGAACAGGCAAACGCUCGGCAAGGCCACACGCAAAAUGCCCUUAAUUCCGGUCAGAGUUCAGUUUUACACAGUGGAAAAGGCGAAUAAUAAACCACACUUAAUAGUAUCAGUAUAAACAAAUAUCUCCCACAGCUUUAUAAAAUAUACUCCCAAAAAGGUUUGCCAACUGUUUUAAGUAAAUACGAUAGCAUUUAUAUUCGCUUAUGUCUAAACAUUUGUUUUUAAGGCAGUUUUUGUAUAUAAACGAACACAUGGAAGAAAUUAUAGAAACACCUUCUAAAUAAUUGCUAUAUUGUAAAUUUCCCACAAAAUCAUUUAAUAGACAGACCAAACUCAAAACUUUCCGGAUAAUAAAAAUCUUGCUAUGGCAUUUAGAAAAGUAAACAACUACAACAAGCUACCAAUAACAUUUUUAUUAUUAUUUGGAAAAUUGCUAGAACGCCAUAGCGAAGUAUUGGCAGUAAUCAGGUAAUAAUAUGUAAACAAUUCUGGGAAUUUGAGAAUCAAAUCUUUUAAUUUGCCAACACCACGAGUCGUAAAGUGGUUUUUGAAUUAUCUAGACUUUUGAAAGUAACCAGAUUCAGACACAGCUCUAAUAAACUUGCUAGGUUAAUCAACUUUACUGUCUAUUUACAAAUAACAAUACCACCAGAGCGAUAAACGCCAUACAAUUCGCAAUCUGUUAAUUUGAAGAACAAACUUCGCCACAGAAUGAAUCGAAAUAAACUAGAUUAUUCAUGCAUUAACGAGCUGUUACGAAUGCAAUAUUCCCAUUGUCGUCAGUAGGUAUCUUUCGUAUCGUAUCGUAAUACAAUUUCCCUUUUAGAUAAUAUGAGUCAACAGCUCGCAACAAAGGCAACAGUCCAUUUCUUGCAAUUGAAUGGCUUUGCCUGUUCCAAACCAGCUGAUUGAAUCCAACUGGUUUUUGCGCCAACAAGAGAAAGUUGACAAAGUUAAACAAACUUAUUUGGCGAUACCCGUAUUGGGUCACAGGCACGGACCCAUAGAACGGGUGGCCACUGUAUCUGCGGAAACACCAAGUGCAAGGUACUUCAAAAUCUGCUGGCGGCUAAGUCAGCAAAAAGUGGAAUUCGAACACGAUAAACUUAAUGACGGCACCUGAGCGUCGUUUGCUUAUGGCUUAGCCACAAUCAAUGCCAGUCCCGAAGAAAAAUGGCUGAGUGGUACAUAAAUAUUUGAAAGAAUUCCCAUGAACGUAAAUUAUUUGCAGUUAUUAUUGCAAUGUGUACUAGAAUAAAUAGGUUUUGUAAUGACCAAGACAGCAAUGACCUUUGCUGAUAACUUGGAAUAAUAAAUGCCUUACCAUUUGCCAAAUUAAAAA